rnacentral:lncRNA from 1 species
AGCCUGUCAGCUGAGCAAAGGAGGGAAACUCAGAAUGGAGAACUCCUCCCCCUCCAUCCAUAAGUGGCACACCACUGGCCUCCUGGUGUUAUUAAAGGAAAGUUGGAAAAGUUUCCAGAAGAUUAAGCAGAAAGCUUACAACUUGCACAAGACUCUCAAUUUUCCAGUGGCUCUGACAGAAGGAUAAAACUUCGGCUGUUUUAACUAAAAUGGAUGGUCAAGUUGGUAUCCAUCGUGAAGCUAAAUGAAUAUCUGGACAGGAGUCAGACAAAGAGAAGGAGAAUCCAGGAGAAGAUGAAGCAGCUGCAGGCCUGUCUGCUACCCUAUAUCCGGGGAAGAGCCAGAAAUUGCUGACCAUAGAGAAUUACAUUGUCCAGCUUUUCCUCUAUUAAAUGGAGCAGCAACAAAAGGCCAGAUCAUUCAACCUAUGCUUCCUCAAGUCUGAUAACAUUGGUGUUUCUCUUAGAUAUCAGUUCAAGUAAGGAGUUGCCAAUAGAAGCGAAGGUAAGAUAUUAAGUUAUUUCUCCAGGUGUGUGUGUGUGUGUGUGUGUGUGUGUGUGUAAGGUGCCUUAGAGACUGCAGCAUUUUAUACCAACAUUUCAGAAAUAAGGACACAGAGGACUUGGAGAGAG